rnacentral:rRNA from 1 species
UACGGAGGGGGGCUAGCGUUGUUCGGAAUCAUUGGGCGUAAAGGGCGCGUAGGCGGCCGAUCAAGUCGGAGGUGAAAUCCCUCGGCUUAACCGGGGAACUGCGUCUGAUACUGGAUGGCUUGAGUUUGGGAGAGGGACGCGGAAUUCCAGGUGUAGCGGUGAAAUGCGUAGAUAUCCGAAGGAACACCGGUGGCGAAAGCGGCUCACUGGGUCUUUUCUGACGCUGAUGCACGAAAGCUAGGGGAGCAAACGGG